UAAAUGAAGUGAGUUAAAGCAACCCGGGAUUGGACAACUUUCUUCGAGAAUAUGCAACAAGACUGAAGACUAGACUUAAGACUGUGAAUGUUUAUUUUGCUUGGUUUCGGCCUGCUAGAGAGUUGGGAGAAGAGAGUACCCUGUAUACAGGUGUGUCUACCCCUCAGAGGUGAUGGGAGGCGACCUGGCGGUCCAGUCCUCUGAGGAUCAGGAGGCCUGGGGUCCAGACCACCCCUCCCCCUGGACCACUCAGCUGGCCCUCAGACCCAGUGUCAGUGAGGAGGAGGCUUCAGGAGACCUGAUCAUGAAAUGACCAGUUGCCGGUUCAACGUGUUGGUCUCCAUAGAGAGCUCCAGACUGGUCCUCCUCGAGCCUUGGGGAUCCUUUACCCCAGGUCAGUCCUCCUCCUCUGUUUUGACGAGAGUCUUCGGCUAUGAUGACCGUAUUGCGGACCACUGCCUUGACAGGGAUAAGCAGCUUUAUGCGUUAUCCAGAAGGUGAGGCAAGUAGCUGGAAAUAUUUUACAGUCUGCACCAUUUUUAAAUUAAUGCCAAAUAUAUAUACAUAUUAAUUAACAUGGGAGUUUAUAAGCAGAUUUGCCUCUAAUAAUUGACAUUAGCUUAUCAAAUGUCCUCAAGUGUUUAUCUGAAAUUGACUUUUCUUUUUGUGUUAAACGCCUGGGGAUGGAACAGUUGAGCCACACUAGUCUACAGGACCAGUCACAUAAUUCAACUGUUUUCAUUUCUUUAUGCCUGCCUUAUUUUUCAUUUCUUGUCAGUAAGCUGGGAACCCUUUAAGGGUUAUUUUUGCCUAACCUAGUACCUUAACCUAAGCCUCUAUCGUCAGCACCUCGGCAUUGGACUCAUUGACUCUGUGGCCUCCUGCUAGUUAUUGUUUGGUUUUGUCCACCAUGUGUCUGUUUGUCACCUGUCCAUCCUGCCUCUGACUCCUCCUCUCUCCAUCCUGCCUCUGAC